rnacentral:rRNA from 1 species
CUCGAGGCCAGAUCUUUCCGGUUGAUCCCGCCGGACCUGACUGCUAUCGGAUUGAUACUAAGCCAUGCGAGUCAUUGUAGUAAUACAAGGCAGACGGCUCAGUAACGCGUAGUCAAUCUACCCUGUGGACGGGAAUAACCUCGGGAAACUGAGAAUAAUGCCCGAUAGAACACUAUGCCUGGAAUGGUUUGUGUUUGAAAUAAUUUAUUGCCAUAGGAUGGGACUGCGGCCUAUCAGUUUGUUGGUGAGGUAAUGGCCCACCAAGACUAUUACAGGUACGGGCUCUGAGAGGAGUAGCCCGGAGAUGGGUACUGAGACACGGACCCAGGCCCUAUGGGGCGCAGCAGGCGAGAAAACUUUGCAAUGUGCGAAAGCACGACAAGGUUAAUCCGAGUGGUUUCUGCUAAAGGAACCUUUUGUCGGUCCUAGAAACACCGAUGAAUAAGGGGUGGGCAAGUUCUGGUGGCAGCCGCCGCGGUAAAACCAGCACCUCAAGUGGUCAGGAUGAUUAUUGGGCCUAAAGCAUCCGUAGCUUGCUUUGUUAGUUUUCGGUUAAA